AUUGAACGCUGGCGGCAUGCUUUACACAUGCAAGUCGAACGGCAGCGCGGGCUUCGGCCUGGCGGCGAGUGGCGAACGGGUGAGUAAUGCAUCGGAACGUGCCCAGUAGUGGGGGAUAGCCCGGCGAAAGCCGGAUUAAUACCGCAUACGACCUGAGGGUGAAAGCGGGGGACCGAAAGGCCUCGCGCUAUUGGAGCGGCCGAUGUCGGAUUAGCUAGUUGGUGGGGUAAAGGCUUACCAAGGCGACGAUCCGUAGCUGGUCUGAGAGGACGACCAGCCACACUGGGACUGAGACACGGCCCAGACUCCUACGGGAGGCAGCAGUGGGGAAUUUUGGACAAUGGGGGCAACCCUGAUCCAGCCAUGCCGCGUGCGGGAAGAAGGCCUUCGGGUUGUAAACCGCUUUUGUUCGGGAAGAAAUCCUCUGGGCUAAUACCCCGGGGGGAUGACGGUACCGGAAGAAUAGGCACCGGCUAACUACGUG
rnacentral:rRNA from 1 species